rnacentral:lncRNA from 1 species
ACCCGAAUAGCCUUGUGGAAUUGGCAAAAGGACAUGACCUAUUUUCUCCAUGUAUGUGAGCCAGUGCAGAACUCUUGUACUGACUGGUUAUGUAGCUUUCCCUGUAAUCAAUGCACACACAAAGGUGUGCCGUAAUCAAAGCGCCGUAUUUCUUCUUUUUCCCACCUCCCCUCCGUCCACUUAGCUGUCAUUAACCGCACGCUCCUCGUUAGCCAUCUCUGGGUUAAUAGUGUUAUCUUUUCCAUUUCAGAGUUCGGGUAACAGAGGCAUCAGGACACCUUGUGUCUGGCACCCUAGCAGUGAGCAGCCACUCCUGGGCUCCCUGAGGAGGUUUGGAAGCCUCCUGUAGUCCAUCUUCUGGUCCCUUCUUCCCUGAUCUGCUGGCUGCCUGAAGUGACCAUCUCAACCCCCAGAGCGGUUCCAUCUCUUCACUGCUUACAGAGGAAUAUAUUUACUCUGCUUAAGUGCUUCUGGUCCUCCGAACCCGUUGUUAUGUACGGACUGUUUUUAUUGUCCAUGAAUCAUGUUUUACUGCUCCUUUUUCUUUCUACCCCUUCUAUUUUCCCCUGCCUCUUACCA